GGUGGAGUGGCUCAAGUGGUAGAGCACAUGCUUAGCAAGCAUGUGGUCCUGAGUUCAAACCUCAGUGCCACCU